AAGAUUCUCAGGGCACAUUGGCUUGGAAAGCAAUAGUUAGCUAUGGCUCCCAUGAUUAUCCAGCAGCUGUUCAAUGACCAACUGGCUUUUGGGCACAUACAAAAGAAAAGAGAUGAAGAAAUAAGAGAAAUGUUCUCCAAGGUUGAAGAGAGGCACUAUUCAGUUUCCUGGUUAACAGGGAUCUGAUGGAUGGAACUCAGGGCUGUAUAUAUCAGUAUGAGGACUCAGGAGUGAAAUUCUUGACCGACUGAGAUCUGCGGCUCAAUUUACAGUUUCCAGGAAGGAUAGGAUUGAAGUUCAGAUAUCUUUGGCCGCUCAUCUUCAUGGAUAUUGAACUUUUUUUUUAAUCUAAAAAAUGACUUUUUUUUCCUGCUGCUACCAUUUUCAGCCGUAUGAACAGCUAUGAUGACACCCUACAAAGUUGCCAUUAUGUUGGUGAUAUUAGUAUUAAUCACACAUUGCUGGAUACUGUAAUUGAAUAGUUUUUACACAGAUGAUAUUAACUGAUAAAAUAUGGCAUCCUCAUGAGAAAACAUUACCUUGAAAUAUUAGCGUUAUAAUAUGUUAAUUUCUAUGGAGGAUACGACUACAGAUAUAUGAGGAGAUGUAAAUUUCCCAGCACUUCUGCUGACAAUUUCCAUGUCAACAUAAUUCUUAGGAAUCCGUACUCACUAUUUUGUGAUGACUUAUAUGAUGAUGUAUAACAACUUAAGGGGGCUUUAAAAUGCAGUAUUUUGACUAAUGCAGUUUAGUAAAUAGCAUAUAAGGCUGCUGCUUCCUUUCGAUUCUGGGAAGGCUGACUCUAGCCCUUGGUGCCACCAGGAAGUCACCAAGUUCCUGAGGUGCUCAGGAUGCUCCGAGUGCAUUGCUGCUGUGCAUUAAUGGUGAGAGAGGAGGUUCUGGGGAGCGGCAGCAAAAUCAUUACCUAAGUAUUAUUAAUUGAGGCUAGUACUGGG
rnacentral:lncRNA from 7 species